GCCUGGCUAGCUCAGCCUCGGUAGAGCAUGAGACUCUUAAUCUCAGGGUUGUGGGUUUGAACCCCACGUUGGGCA